AGAUUGAACGCUGGCGGCAUGCCUUACACAUGCAAGUCGAACGGUAGAGUAGCAAUACUCGAGAGUGGCGAACGGGUGAGUAAUAUAUCGGAACGUGCCCAGUCGUGGGGGAUAACGUAGAGAAAUUUACGCUAAUACCGCAUACGAUCUACGGAUGAAAGCGGGGGAUCGCAAGACCUCGCGCGAUUGGAGCGGCUGAUAUCAGAUUAGGUUGUUGGUGAGGUAAAAGCUCACCAAGCCGACGAUCUGUAGCUGGUUUGAGAGAACGACCAGCCACACUGGGACUGAGACACGGCCCAGACUCCUACGGGAGCAGCAGGUGGGAAUUUUGGACAAGUGGGACGAAAGCCUAGAUCCAGCAAUGCCGCGUGCAGGAAGAGCUUCGGUGUAAUG
rnacentral:rRNA from 1 species